rnacentral:rRNA from 1 species
GGCGGCAUGCCUUACACAUGCAAGUCGAACGGUAACAGGUUAAGCUGACGAGUGGCGAGCGGGUGAGUAAUAUAUCGGAACGUGCCCAGUAGUGGGGGAUAGCCCGGCGAAAGCCGGAUUAAUACCGCAUACGACCUACGGGUGAAAGGGGGGGAUCGCAAGACCUCUCGCUAUUGGAGCGGCCGAUAUCAGAUUAGCUAGUUGGUGGGGUAAAAGCUCACCAAGGCGACGAUCUGUAGCUGGUCUGAGAGGACGACCAGCCACACUGGGACUGAGACACGGCCCAGACUCCUACGGGAGGCAGCAGUGGGGAAUUUUGGACAAUGGACGAAAGUCUGAUCCAGCCAUGCCGCGUGCGGGAAGAAGGCCUUCGGGUUGUAAACCGCUUUUGUCAGGGAAGAAAAGUUCUGGGCUAAUAACCUGGGAUGAUGACGGUACCUGAAGAAUAAGCACCGGCUAACUACGUGCCAGCAGCCGCGGUAAUACG